GCUACAGGUAGGGGCUUACGUUUGACGCCCGCCGCUAGCCGGACCCGCCGCUCUACGGACGUCUACCGUCUGCCGCUAGCCGGACCCGUCGCUAUCGGAUUACCCUCAUGUCAGGACGGCACCGGAAAUGUAGCCAGACCUCAAACAUUGAACUGUUCUAAGGAGUGGGUCUUGUGAUUCAAGCUAUGGUACAGACCGAGGUCAAUCCUCAGUGAAUUGUGUACAGGAUUAGGUCACCCUGAGAGAACUGUGUACAGAACUAGGUCACAUACUGAGUGAAUUGUGUACAGAACUAGGUCACCUUUGAAUUUUGUACAGAUCUAGGUCACACUGAGUGAAUUGUGUACAGAACUAGGUCGCCCUGAGUGAAUUGUGUACAUAACUAGGUCACAUACUGAGUGAAUUGUGUACAGAACUAGGUCACCUUUGAAUUUUGUACAGAUCUAGGUCACACUGAGUGAAUUGUGUACAGAACUAGGUCGCCCUGAGUGAAUUGUGUACAUAACUAGGUCACAUACUGAGUGAAUUGUGUACAGAACUAGGCCACACGGAGUAAACCGUGUAUAGAACUAGGUCACCCCUGAUUGAACUGUGUACAGAACUAGGUCACCCUGAUUGAACUGUGUACAGAACUAGGUCACCCUGAUUGAACUGUGUACAGAACUAGGUCACCCUGAUUGAACUGUGUACAGAACUAGGUCCCCCUUGAGUGAACUUAGUACAUAACUAGGUCACACCCUGAUGGCAGACAAGCCAGUGACUGGCAGAAUGGCCGAUGCAUACAAAGGCGGAUGAAAGAUCAGACCAUGCCUAUACCGCGAGUUCGAAUCCAUCACAGUCCAGCACUCUCCAUCGUGACGUUAGCAGCGCUUGUUUCUUGUUGGCCAGUUGCCCAGGGUUCUGGUGUUUUUGAGGUCAGGAUAUUGACACGUCUCACUCCCACCUGGUGCGUCAAGUCAAACAGCAGCACCGCCCACGUCAACAGCCCCACCCAGGUCAACAGCCCCGCCCACGUCAACAGCCC